GCUCAGGAUGAACGCUAGCUACAGGCUUAACACAUGCAAGUCGAGGGGAAACGACAUCGAAAGCUUGCUUUUGAUGGGCGUCGACCGGCGCACGGGUGAGUAACGCGUAUCCAACCUGCCACCACUUGGGAAUAACCUUGCGAAAGUAAGACUAAUACCCAAUGACGUCUCUAGAAGACAUCUGAAAGAGAUUAAAGAUUUAUCGGUGAUGGAUGGGGAUGCGUCUGAUUAGCUUGUUGGCGGGGUAACGGCCCACCAAGGCUACGAUCAGUAGGGGUUCUGAGAGGAAGGUCCCCCACAUUGGAACUGAGACACGGUCCAAACUCCUACGGGAGGCAGCAGUGAGGAAUAUUGGUCAAUGGACGAGAGUCUGAACCAGCCAAGUAGCGUGCAGGAUGACGGCCCUAUAGGUUGUAAACUGCUUUUAUAAGGGAAUAAAGUGAGUCUCGUGAGACUUUUUGCAUGUACCUUAUGAAUAAGGACCGGCUAAUUCCGUGCCAGCAGCCGCGGUAAUACGGAAGGUCCGGGCGUUAUCCGGAUUUAUUGGGUUUAAAGGGAGCGUAGGCCGGAGAUUAAGCGUGUUGUGAAAUGUAGAUGCUCAACAUCUGCACUGCAGCGCGAACUGGUUUCCUUGAGUACGCACAAAGUGGGCGGAAUUCGUGGUGUAGCGGUGAAAUGCUUAGAUAUCACGAAGAACUCCGAUUGCGAAGGCAGCUCACUGGAGCGCAACUGACGCUGAAGCUCGAAAGUGCGGGUAUCGAACAGGAUUAGAUACCCUGGUAGUCCGCACGGUAAACGAUGGAUGCCCGCUGUUGGUCUGAAUAGGUCAGCGGCCAAGCGAAAGCAUUAAGCAUCCCACCUGGGGAGUACGCCGGCAACGGUGAAACUCAAAGGAAUUGACGGAAGGGC
rnacentral:rRNA from 1 species